GCCUCACCCAAGAGCGUGUUCAGAACCCCUGGGGCUGGGCUUGUACUGAGAGUACCUUUGGCCCUGUCCACACAGACCUAGUUAGCAUCCAAAGCCAGAGUGACACAGGGCUAGAUGCCCCUGAAAUGUGGAUUGAUGUCCCCCCACACCAGCCCUCCUUGGGUGGAGCUGAUGGAGAAGAAUCAUCCCAGCAUUGUUUAGGCAGUCAAUGGAGGAGCCACAGGACAGAGGGCCAUGGCUGCGUUUGUGUGCAUGGACCAAGUGGACCAGGAAGAUGUUGCCACAGUUUGGCUGGUUCCCCUCUCUUCAAUUUUGGAAUGAGGAAGACAAUAAUGGUAGAAGUCGAGGUGGAAAUAGUGGAGGAAGUAGCCUAUGAGGACACAGAGACACUUGAAGUAAUAUCAGAAGGAGUCUAUCCAAAUUAUUUGAUGGAAACCAUAUUGCUGCACGAUGACCAGCUUUUCGCCACCUAAACAUGCAUUCCUUCAAAAGUUGUUUGCAAGUGAACUUUCUGUGUUUUUAAAUGUCAGCCUUGUAUUUUAAAUGUAUUUUACAUUUAUUUAAAUGUAGUUUAAAUAUUAAAAUGUAUUUUAAAUACCAUUUAAAGGCCUUUUUUAUGUCAGUGUUAUGGGAGGUUCAUUAAUUACAUUUUUUUUUACCCAAUAAAAUAAGAAAACCUUUGCUUGUUGUCUUGAUUUGAUCUUCUAAUGAAGAUAUAGUAUAUGUAACUUCCAAGACCUUCUGACAGUCUACACUUGCUUUGUCCAUCCAGUGCUCCAGUACUCUGCUCAAGUAUGGCAAGUCUCACAGCCCACCAAGUUGAAAAAAUCUAACGACAUGCUACCAAAAUCAUCAUGGGCACCACCUACACCUACUC